rnacentral:rRNA from 1 species
UACGUAGGAGACGAGCGUUGUCCGGAGUUACUGGGCGUAAAGAGCUCGUAGGCGGCCUGUUACGUCUGCUGUGAAAUCCCGGGGCUUAACCCCGGGCGUGCAGUGGAUACGGGCAGGCUGGAGGCAGGCAGGGGAGAACGGAAUUCUCGGUGUAGCGGUGAAAUGCGCAGAUAUCGGGAGGAACACCGGUGGCGAAGGCGGUUCUCUGGGCCUGUACUGACGCUGAGGAGCGAAAGCGUGGGGAGCGAACAGG